ACAAUGCUUAUUGCUUUUGCCCAUUGUCUCCUUGGAAGAAUCUUACCAAUUCCUUGACACUGUUGACCGUGCUCUCUGUGCUCUGACUGAGGUAAAGCUCCCACACCCAGCACAGAGUUUCUCCCCGUGCUCCAAAUUUUAUUAGUGAUAUUAAAUCCUCCUGAUGUGGUUAAAAGUGUCACACUGGAAAGGCUGAUUUGAAAUUGUGUUUCAAUAUCAUACUGUAUGAAAUCUAAACCCAGUUUCCUAAAUACUUCUCACCCUCAACUCAAGUGAGCUCCCGGACAAUGGCGUGAAGUGUAGUUUGAAGAACAGAAGAAGAAAAUCACUCUUUAUUGUUGGACACCAACCUUAUCUGAGCUUUUGUCAUGUUCUUCUCCCCUUUCUAUUCUAUGUAAAUAAGAUUAAAUUACACCCAGCCUCGGAUCCACUUAGUCAGUGGAAAAUGCCACUUUUGCCAUAAGGGUGGAAAAGAUGGACGAGACCCCCACCACUCCUGGGCUCACUAUCUCUCUGAUCGUCUCUCCAGUGGACUCAGGUUUCUGAUCACAGUGAAAACGGUGAUCAGUGAGAUUUCUAGUGAAGGCAGCUUUUAGCGUGCAGGAGAGAUUUUUUUCUCUGUUUGUUUUUUUUUUGGGGGGGUAGGGGUGGGAGUGAGGGGGGGGCUCUGCUCUCUAGAAACCCGAGAGGAAGGGAUGCAUGAUGGGAUGCUGAACUCGUGCAUUUCGGCAAAGAUCUAAUCUUUUUGAAUUCAUUGCUUGUGAGUUAUUAUUUCUAAUCAUACGCUUGAUUGAUUCCAGCUAAAUGACUGUCUGACUGCAGAGGCAGGGGUGUUAAAUCCAAAACUGUAAGUGCACAUUUUAACUGAAAAUAGAGAUCAUCAUGGAAUACCUUCUCAAUCAGUAGUGCCUGACACUCUCCCCUCCCCUCCCUCCCCCCCCCCCUUUUAAAUAGAAAUUCUCUCAUCCACAUGUAGGAACAGAGCAUCAUGGAGCGUGAUUGAGCUCCAAGAGGGAAGAUUGAAACCCUGGAGGGGAUAUCAGAAUGAUAAAAACCGGGGCUCCCCUAGUGACACAAUGAAUGUAGUUAAUAUGCUAGUUUAGUCUGACAGGCCAGUCAGGUGCCCCUUAAAACUCCAAUUUAAGAUUAUCUCGUCACUUUAAAGAUUUGAACAAAAAGGAUGGAAGAAAUAAGAGGGUUGCGGUAAUAUUUUUUUAGAAGCAGGACAUGGCAAUUCCCUGUCUGUGUGUUUUUUGUUUGUUUGUUUGUUUUUCCAUGAAAAAUCUCAGUACCUGGUUUCUUUCAGGCAGGUGACUUCCCAGCAAAACAUGGUGGCUCCUAUGUAGUUUGAAAUACGAUAAAGGAGGAUUCCCAUGUCAGAAAGUCUGAACUGAUAAUGUGAUUUCAAGGCAUCAUUUUUUUUAAAAGAAAGUUGUUAAGGCAUUUGAACAUUUAACUAUAUUGCUAUGGUGUAGCUUCCUAAUGAAAUGAACUUACUAUAUUUUUGAAUUUUUGCCUUCCUUGCCUUAAUAUCAUAUAAAUAUUCAAAAGUUCCUUUUGGAUUUCUGAGCGAGAUGAAUGUUUACACAGCCCUGAGCCUUACAAGGAAAUUUAUGUGACUAUGUCUGUGUUAGGGAAAAUAACCAUUGAGUUGCAGAGGAGAGUCUUAGCUAGAGGCAGCUGCAGGUACUCAAAGGUUGGGCGUGUGCGCGCAUGUGUAUAUUGCCUUCAAAUGGACAGAAUUUUAAGUGGACACACAAUUGAUAAUCUGAAUAUCUACAUUUGGCCAGUGUUUUCUCAUGCACCUAACUUUUUUUUUUUAAUUACUAUCUUUCACGUUAAUUUAAAAAAAAUGCUCAUUUUACAUUAGGUAAUAAUUAGUGUAUAUAAGAUUUAAGAUUUAAAAUUCUGCUUGACUUUGUCAAAUCACUUGAGAUUUAAACUCUAACAACACUGGGCUAAAGUAUUAAGUAUUCCACACACAGUGGUUUAAAAUUAAAAAUUUAAUUUUAUCUCGUCAAGUGUCUUCUUUUGGAGACCCAUUUCAUUCUCUCUCAUGCCGGAGGAAGCGACUGGUGCUGCUGUGAACCAGUUCCUACAAGAAGCCUUAUCUGCACAAUUUAGCGAAACCACAUUCUUGUAGGGGACACCCAUGUGAUGUGUGUACACUAUAUAGGGUACGAUUGUUGAGUGCUAAUCUUUUUAUCAAGGUCACUGGAUGGUAAGGAGGAACAGCUGCUAGGACAGCCCUGGGUUCUCCCAGGACCAAAAGGUUAGAUAAACUGUUUUGGGGAUUUAUACAGGGUAGUGAUUUUCGUGUCAGUUUAAUUAUCCUUACAUUUUACAAGACUGACAAUCAGGGCACCCAAACAUCUUGUGGAACCGCAGGCUCUGAAGACUUUUGAGUCUUUUCUGAUUGGGUUUAUUUGAUAAUCCUUCUUUUCACGGUGACCUUAGCUGAAAUGAAGAGCCGUGAGGACCACAAGGCCCACGUUCCUGUUAGACGAUUUAAUCAUGAGUCUAUCAUCCACUGAGAAAAACGCCUUUCAUUCUCUGUCCAUUUAUUUGAAAUUACUUAAUGAUUCAGGCAUCUCUUAUUGGGGUCAUUACUUUGAUUUUUCUUUCUUCUUCUUCUUCUUUUUUUUUUACUUAGCAAUGUAACUCUUGAAAUACGUUAUGUAAAUGACUGCCUUCAAGGUGCACUGUGUUUAAAAAGUGAUCGAUCUGUUGAAAAUUGUUUUUAAUUGACUUCGUUCUAAACACGUGACCUAUUAGAAAGAAAUGGGUGGAGAACAGAAAUUUAUACAGCAAGGGCUAAGCUGUGUCACAUUAUCAUACUUUUUAACAGAUUGCUAGGUACUUUCUAAGUUUACAAGCCCAAGUACUUAUGACAUCUUGAAGACCAUGUUUACUGUAAUCUGGUGGUAGUAAUUACAUGGGCCACAUUACAGUUAAUAACUUGCAUGGCAUUUCUUUAUCCCCAGAGGCAUGAAAAUAAAAAGAAACUUAUAUAUGAUAUAAAAAAAUACUUUCAGCAAUUUUUCCAGGCCUGUUACUUUUAUAAAGCACUCGAGAUUUUACUUUUAUUAGUGUAAGAUACUUGGAAAUGACCUACUAGCAAAUGGACCUAGUGACAUAAUUCAAAUUUAUAUUGCUUUGGUU
rnacentral:lncRNA from 1 species